AAUAGAUACCCGGGUAGUCCACGCCGUAAACGAUGAGUGCUAAGUGUUAGGGGGUUUCCGCCCCUUAGUGCUGCAGCUAACGCAUUAAGCACUCCGCCUGGGGAAUACGGUCGCAAGACUGAAACUCAAAGGAAUUGACGGGGGCCCGCACAAGCGGUGGAGCAUGUGGUUUAAUUCGAAGCAACGCGAAGAACCUUACCAGGUCUUGACAUCCCACUGACCGCUAUGGAGACAUAGUUUUCCCUUCGGGGACAGUGGUGACAGGUGGUGCAUGGUUGUCGUCAGCUCGUGUCGUGAGAUGUUGGGUUAAGUCCCGCAACGAGCGCAACCCUUGAUCUUAGUUGCCAUCAUUUAGUUGGGCACUCUAAGGUGACUGCCGGUGACAAACCGGAGGAAGGUGGGGAUGACGUCAAAUCAUCAUGCCCCUUAUGACCUGGGCUACACACGUGCUACAAUGGACGGUACAAACGGUUGCCAACCCGCGAGGGGGAGCUAAUCCGAUAAAACCGUUCUCAGUUCGGAUUGUAGGCUGCAACUCGCCUAC
rnacentral:rRNA from 1 species